rnacentral:rRNA from 1 species
UUAGUUAAGUGAAUAAGGGCGCACGGUGGAUGCCUUGGCACUAGGAGCCGAUGAAGGACGGGACUAACACCGAUAUGCCUCGGGGAGUUGUAAGUAAACAUAGAUCCGAGGAUUUCCGAAUGGGGAAACCCACUGUUCGUAAUGGAACAGGACUUAUGUCUGAAUACAUAGGGCAUAAGAGGCACACCCAGGGAACUGAAACAUCUCAGUA